GAAUCUUCCGCAAUGGACGAAAGUCUGACGGAGCGACGCCGCAUGGUGGAUGAAGCCCUUAGGGGCGUAAACACCUUUUAUGAGGGAGGAAGUUUAUUGACGUUACCUCAUGAAUAAGGGGCUCCCAACUCUGUGCCAGCAGGAGCGGUAAUACAGAGGCCCCAAGCAUUAUCCGGAUUCACUGGGCGUAAAGGGUGCGUAGGCGGUGUGAUUAGUCAGGUGUUAAAUCCUCGGGCUCAACCCGAGAAUCGCAUUUGAAACGGUCACACUAGAAGAAGUCAGAGGUAAACAGAACUCUCGGUGUAGGGGUGAAAUCCGUUGAUAUCGAGGGGAAUACCAAAUGCGAAGGCAGUUUACUGGGACUUUCUUGACGCUGAGGCACGAAAGCGUGGGUAGCGAAUCGG
rnacentral:rRNA from 1 species